ACGGAGGAUCCGAGCGUUAUCCGGAUUUACUGGGUUUAAAGGGUGCGUAGGCGGGCGCUUAAGUCAGCGGUGAAAUCCUGGGGCUCAACCUUCGAACGGCCAUUGAUACUGGUAGCCUUGAGUUUGGUAGAGGUGGGCGGAAUGCGAGAUGUAGCGGUGAAAUGCUUAGAUAUUACGAAGAACACCGAUUGCGAAGGCAGCUCACUGGGCCGACACUGACGCUGAGGCACGAAAGCGUGGGGAUCGAACAG
rnacentral:rRNA from 1 species